CCAACUACCAGAACAGUUUUAAGUUUGAGCAGUCCCACCUGAAGGAACCUUCCACAUCACCAGUAAUUGGGAGAGACAAAUGGAAAAAUAUCCUAUGAAGUGGUUCAGGAGUGUGAUAUUGAGAGUAAUUUACAAUUAGUAUUAUGGAAUUUUGGUGUUAUAGAACUUUUGUAAUGAAGGAUAAGAAUCUUCCUCCACUGGUCUUUGUUGAACGUUCUAUAAAAUAAUCUGCCUAAUUCAUUUAAACAAUGAAAAGUCUCCC